rnacentral:lncRNA from 1 species
CCUCAGAAUGCCGUCGAGAGUGCAAGAUGACAUAGGUACAAGCUCGCCAUUGGCACACAAUAUCUCUCACACAAAGACGAGAAGUGCUAGAUGCCAUAGGCACAAGAUCGCCGUAGGUACACAAUGCCACUUGUGAGGAUUAACUAACUAGACCCUCGAGAAGACCUCAGCGACUCUGAAGUGGAGCUAACUUACUAGACUGCUACAAAGCCCGAGUUGCAUGAGAAGUGGAGGGAGACCUUUGAGAGAACCUCUGGAGGGAUAACUAAUCAGACCCUCAAAAUACCGUUGAGAGUGCAAGAUGCUAUAGGUACAAACUCGCCGCUAGCACACAAUGCCUCUCGCACGAAGACGAGAAGUGCUAGAUGUUGUAGGCACAAGAUUGCCGUAGGCACACAAUACCACCGUGAUGGUUAACUAACUAGACCCUCGAGAAGACUUCAGUAACUUCGAGAUGAGGCUAACUUACCAGACCCCUGCAGAGCCCGAGUCGUGCGAGAAGCGAAGAAAGACCCUUGAGGAAAUCUCCAGAGGGAUAACUAAUUAGACCCUCGGACUGCUGUCGAAAGUGCAAGAUGCCGUAGGCACAAGCUCUCUGCUGGCACACAAUGCCUCUCGCACAAAGACAAGUAGUAAAUAUCGUAGGCACAAAAUCGCUGCAGGCACACAAUGCCACUCAUGAGGGCUAACUUAUCAGACUCUCAAUAAGAUCUCAACGACUCUGAGGUGGAGCUAACUUACCAGACCCCUGCAGAAUUCGAGCUGCACAAAAAGCAGAGGAAGAUCCUUGAGUGAACUUCCAGAGGAAUAACUAAUCAGACCCUCGGAAUGCCACCGAGAGUGCAAGAUGCCAUAGGCACAAGCUCACCGC